AGCCACCUCCUCCUCCUCCAACGGAUUCCUCCUGCCCGUGGCCGCCACUGCGUCGGCCUCCUCUUCCGCUCUCCCUUUGCCAUUCCUGGAUCUCGGGGUGCCACUCGCGGUCGUGGACCUCUGGUAGGCAGCCUACUAGGUGCUUAUCUCCGCCUCUCACACCACCGACGUCCUUCGCCUCACUCCAGCGCGCUCCCUCACCACCGCCACCGCCAGGAAGUUGAAGAAGGCCUAGCCGCCGAUGCGCAACCCACUGAAGGACCCCUCGGCCGGUUGCUCCUCACCUCGUUCCGCCCUCCUGUGCUGGGCCCCUCCCCUUCGCCGUCCCCUUCACCAUCCUUGCCACCAAUGACCGGGACUUCCUCAUCCGCAACUCCGGCGAGCAGGCAAAUGGAUCAGCCGCCGUCAUCCCCAUUAGCGCGGUCCCUGAGGUGGUGGGCAUCUGCGUGCCUAGGCCCCAAACAAUGUGACCACGUUUGCUCCC